rnacentral:lncRNA from 1 species
UUGGUAGAUGUAGUAGUUGAUGUGCUAUAUAAAUGGUGGAGUGUUUAGUAUUACAUGAAAUCUAGGUGUUCAUAUGAGACAUAGAAAAAUAUAGAUUUGUCGGUACAAUGGAUUUAGCUUAGUUAUUUAUGUUACAAUAAAAUUAGUUUGUUGAUUUAUUUAGAUAAAUUUAAGAUGAAUAUUAUUGGUAAUGCAUAAGUUAUAUUUGAUAUAAUUAUUCAGAAUGCAGGUGUGUUUGGGGUUAAUUGAAAUUAUUACAUUUAGUUGUAAUUUUUGUUCAUGUCCUGUGUGGUUUUUCGGAAUAUAGGUGUGAU